UACGUAGGGGGCUAGCGUUGUCCGGAUUUAUUGGGCGUAAAGAGCGUGUAGGCGGCCAGGUAGGUCUGCUGUGAAAACUCGAGGCUCAACCUCGAGAGGUCGGUGGAAACCGUUUGGCUAGAGUCCGGAAGAGGAGAGUGGAAUUCCCGGUGUAGCGGUGAAAUGCGCAGAUAUCGGGAAGAACACCCGUGGCGAAGGCGGCUCUCUGGGACGGUACUGACGCUGAGACGCGAAAGCGUGGGGAGCGAACAGG
rnacentral:rRNA from 1 species